rnacentral:rRNA from 1 species
CCUAACACAUGCAAGUCGAACGGUAACAGGAAGAAGCUUGCUUCUUUGCUGACGAGUGGCGGACGGGUGAGUAAUGUCUGGGAAACUGCCUGAUGGAGGGGGAUGACUACUGGAAACGGUAGCUAAUACCGCAUAACGUCGCAAAACCAAAGAGGGGGACCUUCGGGCCUCUUGCCAUCGGAUGUGCCCAGAUGGGAUUAGCUAGUAGGUGGGGUAACGGCUCACCUAGGCGACGAUCCCUAGCUGGUCUGAGAGGAUGACCAGCCACACUGGAACUGAGACACGGUCCAGACUCCUACGGGAGGCAGCAGUGGGGAAUAUUGCACAAUGGGCGCAAGCCUGAUGCAGCCAUGCCGCGUGUAUGAAGAAGGCCUUCGGGUUGU